rnacentral:rRNA from 1 species
GUGGAUGACGGGAGCUUGCUCCAUGUUUAAGCGGCGGACGGGUGAGUAAUGCCUAGGAAUCUGCCUGGUAGUGGGGGAUAACGUUCCGAAAGGAACGCUAAUACCGCGUACGUCCUACGGGAGAAAGCAGGGGACCUUCGGGCCUUGCGUUAUCAGAUGAGCCUAGGUCGGAUUAGCUAGUUGGUGAGGUAAUGGCUCACCAAGGCGACGAUCCGUAACUGGUCUGAGAGGAUGAUCAGUCACACUGGACCUGAGCCACGUCCCACUCUCCUACGGGAGGCAGCAGUGGGGAAUAUUGGACAAUGGGCGAAAGCCUGAUCCAGCCAUGCCGCGUGUGUGAAGAAGGUCUUCGGAUUGUAAAGCACUUUAAGUUGGGAGGAAGGGCAGUAAGUUAAUACCUUGCUGUUUUGACGUUACCGACAGAAUAAGCACCGGCUAACUUCGUGCCAGCAGCCGCGGUAAUACGAAGGGUGCAAGCGUUAAUCGGAAUUACUGGGCGUAAAGCGCGCGUAGGUGGUUCGUUAAGUUGGAUGUGAAAGCCCCGGGCUCAACCUGGGAACUGCAUCCAAAACUGGCGAGCUAGAGUACGGUAGAGGGUGGGUGGAUGACGGGAGCUUGCUCCAUGUUUAAGCGGCGGACGGGUGAGUAAUGCCUAGGAAUCUGCCUGGUAGUGGGGGAUAACGUUCCGAAAGGAACGCUAAUACCGCGUACGUCCUACGGGAGAAAGCAGGGGACCUUCGGGCCUUGCGUUAUCAGAUGAGCCUAGGUCGGAUUAGCUAGUUGGUGAGGUAAUGGCUCACCAAGGCGACGAUCCGUAACUGGUCUGAGAGGAUGAUCAGUCACACUGGACCUGAGCCACGUCCCACUCUCCUACGGGAGGCAGCAGUGGGGAAUAUUGGACAAUGGGCGAAAGCCUGAUCCAGCCAUGCCGCGUGUGUGAAGAAGGUCUUCGGAUUGUAAAGCACUUUAAGUUGGGAGGAAGGGCAGUAAGUUAAUACCUUGCUGUUUUGACGUUACCGACAGAAUAAGCACCGGCUAACUUCGUGCCAGCAGCCGCGGUAAUACGAAGGGUGCAAGCGUUAAUCGGAAUUACUGGGCGUAAAGCGCGCGUAGGUGGUUCGUUAAGUUGGAUGUGAAAGCCCCGGGCUCAACCUGGGAACUGCAUCCAAAACUGGCGAGCUAGAGUACGGUAGAGGGUGG